CUCUCGCUUAGCCUCCGCUAUGUAAACCGGCCUUGUUGUGAAUCUAAACAAAAUUGGUCAGUCGUCGUUUUGUUGCCGUAAGAGCAACGCGUUGAAGGUUCCGCGCUUUCGGUUGAGCAUGUUGCGACAGUGAACGUAGCCGGCAAAAUGCACGCGUUGUUCGGUGAACAGAGCCCCUAUGCGUACCGCGGAGGAGCCGCUGGAGGCUACUCAGCAGGUGUGACGCCCUAUGCUUAUGAACAAUAUCGCUACGGAUAUGGAGCCCCCUACCUUCAUCCUCAUCAACAACAUGUUGGCGCCCCAAAAGAUAUGGUAAAGCCACCCUACUCCUACAUCGCCCUGAUAGCGAUGGCCAUACAAAACGCUCCUGAAAGACGCAUAACACUAAACGGUAUUUAUCAAUUUAUAAUGGAACGAUUUCCCUACUACAGAGAAAACAAACAAGGUUGGCAGAACUCCAUACGACAUAAUCUAAGUCUCAAUGAGUGCUUCGUGAAAGUGGCAAGAGACGAUAAAAAACCCGGUAAAGGAAGUUACUGGACACUAGAUCCCGAUUCAUAUAAUAUGUUUGAUAACGGUUCAUAUUUGCGCCGGCGGCGUCGCUUUAAAAAGAAAGAUGCGCUUAGAGAGAAAGAAGAAGCACUAAAGAGACAGCAGCAAAUGCAUCAAGCUCAAGAAGCACUGAGCGCACAGGAAGCGCUUAGUGCUGCAGAUGCGCUUGGACCGCAACGUGACGUAAAGCCUGACGUUAAACCUCGCAUUUUCGAGUGUCGGCCGAAACGAGAACCGGGCGCACAUUGUGCGCGAUAUGACAAACCAGUGGAUACUCUUGACGACUUCAGUGAACCGCGACUUCCAGCUUCAGCCGUCUACUGUUCGCCGCAACCGUACUCACUGGUAGCUGAAGAAUUUCGUGCCGCCACGUCCGGAUGGUACGCAGCACCCGAACCUCCAACCGAGCAACUACCGCCAGCAUUCCGCGAUCUGUUCGAGCCGCCAAGCUGUCAGUUGGCGGGCUUCCGCAGCGGUUCUCCCGUACCAGACGCAUACCGGGCGUCGCCACCGCCACAUCACCACUACCGCACGCCCGCACCCUCAUACUAUCAUCAUCAAGCGUGCGUCGCCGCCGCUCCUGCGCCAGCACACAAGUCCUACUGAGACCAUGCCCUCAGGAGGCCGGCAUCGCUCGGCGCCGAACGGAUUUAGCCGCACGCGUCAGUUCCAGAGCGGAUAAAUAUAGCGCAGUUGCCGGAGAUGCCGUGGAGGCAAGUGGCGGCGCGUCGAUAACCACUGUUUACAGAUCGGCGGCCGACCCUGCCGCCUCCCGCUCCGUUAACACCUAUAGGUUUAGCGGAACCAGAAUACAGCGGGAGGCUGAGUGCAGGGGUGACGCAAAUAUUUAACGUGUCUGGAAGAUAUGGCCACUUAGUGUCGUAAGAACUAUGAUGUAUUCCGCGUGGUGCACGACUUUUAGCAAAUGUUUAUAAUUUAUAUUGUUCAAGCUAUCGUCUAUGUAUCUCCGCAGGAGAUAUCAUUAAAUGAUAGUGUCCGAAGACUUAAUUUAGUAUGUAUAUUCGUAUUCGUUUACCUAUGAACUUAAUAUAAUAAAUAGUUAAGACGAAAUCCGAUAAUUCCGAAAUAAUGUAGCGUUCAAUAAUUGAUAUAUAUAGGUGCGUAGGCCAAGGCACAACAAAAUUUCAGUAUUAUUCACUAAAUCAGUAUUAUGUACCUGCAUGGAGCAUGUACGUAUCACUCGGUCUCUAGAAAAUAUUAUUAGAUGAAAAUGUAAAUAUUUAGUUUUAAGUAAGUUUAAUACUUAGUUGUUCUAUAAAGCGUAGAUUUCCCCUGUCAAGAAAUAAAGUGUUUGUGAAAAUAAGUACAGGGGAUGUGCUGUUAUUCUAGUCUGCUACAUUAAGCAAAAUAUUUGUAAAAUAGACACCUUAACUGGAAAAUAAUAUUGAUUACGUUUUAUGUAUGUUGGGCGAUAGAAGAUGAAACUUAUUUCGAAUGAUUUGUCUUGUUCUCAUUAGUCGCAAAACGACGUCCGGAUUUUUAACUGGUGAUUUUCCCUCAGCUAGACAUUGCAAUCGUGCAGAAAGUUGCAAUUAAUGUAUCAACUUCUUGAGUAGCUAUAUUAUGUAGAUACGUACGCUAAUGGAUAUUAUUAAGCUUAGCCAAUAGUUUUGUAUUAAGAGACAAGAGGCGAGUAUCGAUGUUUCUUCACGGACCUAAAUUAGAUAACCUACUUACUUAAUAUACGUAUAUUAACAUAAAUCCCAUCUCAUUGUACUAAGACAAUUAGUUAUUACAAGUACCUACUGCGUAGUUGGAAAUUCAAUAGACCAUUUCAUUUAGGCUUUAAAAUAUUAUUUAACACAAAACAUUAGAAAUAAAAUGUAAAUAAAACUGAGUCAAAAGUAGAUUUCAGAGAAAUAACUGACUAGGAGAUAAGUACUCAAAACUUACCAUUUUAUUUUAUCGGUUCCCCUGGCAACACAGAUAAGUCUAAAUAAACAAUCACUAGCUUAUGCGUUUAGUGAUGUUGCAGCGGCAACUCGGACCAUUUGUUUCGGGAAAAUAUUUUGUAAGCUAUCCAGUAAGACGAAAAUCUUUACCAAUGUCGCAUCCGAAUCGCAAGAUUUCUUAUUCUUCAUAUUAUCAUGCAUAGCAUUCAUAAUACGUAUAUUCCCUGGCAAUUUACCACGAUAUGUACGUAGUUAAUUAUUGAAAUUACAAUAUAUGCUAAUUCGGAUCAUUUUCAAUGUGUUUAAUAUAUUUUUAUCUGAACUGAUCGCUACUUAUAAUAUGGCACGUAUGUCAACAUUUCGUAUUUGAACAAAAGAUUUAACACAAUCUGGUUUAUUAGUUAAUUAUAAGAGACAGAUAGAGUAGAGAGAUGAUAGUUGAACAUACGUAGCCUUGGUGUAUUGUUUGUUUUCGUAGGUACCAUGCCAUGCCAGUAAAAUGUCACUUUCAGCAUUUCAAUUCAAGCAAAUUUUUGCAAGAAAAUAGCAGACUUGAGGUAUCUAAUUGUAAUCCCCUAUCUGAGAUUUAAUAACUUAGUCACAUUUCAUUGUUUAUAUAUCAUGCUCCAGUUUCGCAUAGUUAAAUAUUCGAUGACCUACCUAUUAGCAGAUAAAUUUGUGAUAAUUAUUGUAAUCGUGUGUACAUAAAUGUAUUUAAUAAUAAAUGUUUAUUUGUAUUUAG